UACGUAGGGGCCUAGCGUUGUCCGGAUUUAUUGGGCGUAAAGAGCUCGUAGGCGGCUUGGUUAGUCAGGUGUGAAAUCUCCACGCUCAACGUGGAGGGGCCACCUGAUACUGCCAUGGCUUGAGUCCGGUAGGGGAGUGUGGAAUUCCCGGUGUAGCGGUGAAAUGCGCAGAUAUCAGGAGGAACACCGAUGGCGAAGGCAGGUCUCUGGGCAUUAACUGACGCUGAGGAGCGAAAGCAUGGGGAGCGAACAGG
rnacentral:rRNA from 1 species